UCCCCAUAGCACCAAAUCGAGUGCCAAAUUUUCAGCGUCAAUCUCCACUCAACUCUCUCUCAAAGAGGCUGGCAGUACAUGCUGGUUGCGUCAGGGACAGUCUCGGAGGCCAGGUUGGGCUUGGCAGGGCCAGGCUGGGAGGCCAGGCUGGGAGCAUCAGGGCCAGGCGGGCAGUAUACCCUAGUCGCAGCAGGGACAGUCUCAGACGCCAGGCUGGGAGAAGCAGUCAGGCUGCGGUGUCAGCUGGGCAGCGGAAGGGCCAGGCUGUGAGGACAGCUGGGGAGCUGCAGGGCCAGGCUGGGGGGACAGGCAGAGAAAGGUAGUGUCAGACUGGGAAGACACGCUGGGAAAGGCAGGGACAGACUGGGACGACAGGCUGGGAAAGGUAGUGUCAGACUGGGAAGACACGCUGGGACAGGCAGGAACAGACUGG